UGGGGAAUAUUGGACAAUGGGCGAAAGCCUGAUCCAGCCAUGCCGCGGGGGUGAAGAAGGUCGUCGGAUUGUAAAGCACUUUAAGUGGGGAGGAAGGGCAGUAAGCGAAUACCUUGCUGUUUUGACGGUACCGACAGAAUAAGCACAGGCUAACGCUGUGCCAGCAGCCGCGGUAAUACAGAGGGUGCAAGCGUUAAUCGGAAUUACUGGGCGUAAAGCGCGCGUAGGUGGUUCGUUAAGUUGAAUGUGAAAGCCCCGGGCUCAACCUGGGAACUGCAUCCAAAACUGGCGAGCUAGAGUAGGGCAGAGGGUGGUGGAAUUUCCUGUGUAGCGGAGAAAUGCGUAGAUAUAGGAAGGAACACCAGUGGCGAAGGCGACCACCUGGGCUCAUACUGACACUGAGGUGCGAAAGCGUGGGGAGCAAACAGG
rnacentral:rRNA from 1 species